GCGAUAGGGGAACAUCGAGUGAUCCUCAUAUUGGGGGUCUGUCCCACCGUCUAAAAAACGGUGGUUAGCAAGGGCCGGGCAAGACCGGUGCCAGCCGCCGCGGUAAUACCGGCGGCUCGAGUGGUGGCCGAUAUUAUUGAGUCUAAAGGGUCCGUAGCCGGCUUUGCAAGUCUCUCGGGAAAUCCAGCGGCUUAACCGUUGGUCGUCCGGGGGGUACUACAUUGCUUGGGACUGGGAGAGGUAGGAGGUACUCAGGGGGUAGGAGUGAAAUCCUGUAAUCCUCUGGGGACCACCGGUGGCGAAGGCGUCCUACCAGAACAGGUCCGACGGUGAGGGACGAAAGCUAGGGGCACGAACCGGAUUAGAUACCCGGGUAGUCCUAGCCGUAAACGAUGCUCGCUAGGUGUCACAACAGUCGUGAACUGUUGUGGUGCCGUAGGGAAGCCGUGAAGCGAGCCACUUGGGAAGUACGACCGCAAGGUUGAAACUUAAAGGAAUUGGCGGGGGAGCAC
rnacentral:rRNA from 1 species